UACGUAGGGCGCAAGCGUUAUCCGGAAUUAUUGGGCGUAAAGGGCGCGUAGGCGGCUUGGCAAGUGGAUGGUGAAAUCCCUCGGCUUAACCGAGGAACUGCCGUCCAAACUGCUUCGCUUGAGACCGGGAGAGGUGAGUGGAAUUCCCAGUGUAGCGGUGAAAUGCGUAGAUAUUGGGAGGAACACCAGUGGCGAAGGCGGCUCACUGGACCGGUACUGACGCUGAUGCGCGAAAGCGUGGGGAGCAAACGGG
rnacentral:rRNA from 1 species